rnacentral:rRNA from 1 species
GUACGUGAAACCGCUCAGAGGUAAACGGGUGGAGUUGAACUGUGAUCUCUGUGAAUUUAGCUGGUGAACGUGGUUUGAACUUGGUCAAAUUGGUUGUUAUUUGGGGUCUGCUUAKCUGCAGGUCUCCGCCUAUGGAGGAGAUGCRCGAGGCACUUAUCAKGUGUUGCGCGCCUCAGGUGAAUCGGACCAGUUCGCCAGUGCAUUUUCACAGAGUGUUCACCACGACCGGCAUCGCUGUCCGGCUGGUAUGGUUAAACCGGUCUUGCAUUGUCCUCGUGGCUUUGCUUGGUCGGGAUGGCAGGUAGCUCUUGGGCUUGCUCGCAGUUCGCUGUGGGUUCAGGUCCUUGAGUGUAAACAGCUGACCGUAUCGGUUCUGUGCAGUAUGUCGGAGACGGCGGCUUGUGGUGUGUGCGUGCGUGCCAGUUGGCUGGCGAGUCCGGGUUUGGUUAUUAUGUUGCCUGUGUUGGCAGGCCUAAUGAUAGCUCGGAUUCGUUCGGCUGACGGUUGCGUGCGUGUCACUUUCCAGGGCCAAUAGUCUGUGGUGUUGCGGUAGACUUUCCACCUGACCCGUCUUGAAACACGGACCAAGGAGAGUAACAUGUACGCGAGUCAUUGGGCGUAACGAAACCCAAAGGCGAAGUGAAAGUAAAGGUCUGGCUUGUCUAGACUGAGGUGAGAUCCUGUCGUUUCUCACACGUGGUAUCCCCAAGUAUCGAACGGCAGGCGCAUCACCGGCCCGUCCCAUGGUGUGGUGACACUUCAGUGUUCGUCAUCGGGGCGGAGCAUGAGCGUACAUGUUGAGACCCGAAAGAUGGUGAACUAUGCUUGCGCAGGUUGAAGCCAGAGGAAACUCUGGUGGAGGACCGCAGCGAUUCUGACGUGCAAAUCGAUCGUCAGACGUGAGUAUAGGGGCGAAAGACU